GGUUUUGGUUUAUUGGAACCCAGUCCUGCUAGAUUUUCUGUUAACUCAACAUUGAGAAUUAGGUAAUUAUCAUCGUCGCAAAAAAUUAGGGUAGGGCUUCUUUUAUGUUAGUUAAACGUCAUGAGAGUAUAUGCUUUGGUGGUAAUGUAAAGAUCUGACCAGUUGCUCUUGGUAGAGAAAGCAUUUGAGCUAUCAUAUUCCAGAUGUAGCUGCAUAGCUCGUUCUUCGGAAACUAGAAUUUUCAUCAUAUUUUUCAAUUGCAUGAUAGUCAUCUGUUCUAGACCUUGUUUCUGAUGGCAAUGGCUACUGAAGUAAAACUUCUUUACUGAGAGAGCUAAAGACAGUGAAAGCUGACCUGGAUUUUGUGAAGAAGCGACUGGCUCAGCUGGAAGAACACAACAUCCUCAGAGAGAGCUGUGAAACUGGAGACAACCCUGACAAUGAUGAUUUGACAAGCCUUCAGCUUGAGUCUCUUUUGGCUAAGAACGAUCGACUUGCAAAGAGAACUCGGUCCAUGCACAGUAGAAGCAUUUCCUGAGAGAGAUUGUCGAGCACCACCAUCUCACCACAGGUCAACACAGUGAUCAUAAGGGCCCAAAUACCAGCAGAAUACGUUAGACGACAUUAAGUGGAUUUUCGUUCCAUUAAGGAAAGAACUACAUCGCUUGAUCUUGUGCAACGACAACGGAAAUAAUUGCUUGCUUGUGCUACACAUUUGUCAUUUCUUACAAUGAGACCGAACUAGAGAAGGCGGGACCGUUGCUGUUGGAAAGGUAAGUUGAUGUACAUCUCCAUCUUCAUGACUGCAACUCUUUAGAUACAUCUCUGCAUGUGCAAGCUCUAAGUUGUGAAUGAGUCUGCGCUUGAUGUGAGCUUAUCAUCCACUUAAUGCAGCAGAUUUGUAUAAAAACUGGGAUCGAAACUGGUAACAGCCUGCUGUUUUUCCCCGUUUCGUAUCGUGGUCACGGAGGACAGGAUCGAUUCAAUGCUCAUCGUAAGAACAAAUAUUUUAUGACCGUGAUAUUCAAAAGUGAAUAAAAAUAUAAAAAGAAUGUUUAUUUAUGUUAUUUUCACUCUUGUGAUUCAACAGGAAAUAAUGUGGAAAGUAUAGUUGAAU